AUAUCAAUAAGCGGAGGAAAAGAAACCAACAGGGAUUGCCCUAGUAACGGCGAGUGAAGCGGCAACAGCUCAAAUUUGAAAUCUGGCUCCUUCGGGGCCCGAGUUGUAAUUUGCAGAGGAUGCUUCGGGUGCGGGUACCUACUGAGUUCCCUGGAACGGGACGCCAUAGAGGGUGAGAGCCCCGUCUGGUAGGACACCCAGCCCAUGUGAAGCUCCCUCGACGAGUCGAGUAGUUUGGGAAUGCUGCUCUAACGGGAGGUAUACUCCUUCCAAGGCUAAAUACCGGCUGGAGACCGAUAGCGCACAAGUAGAGUGAUCGAAAGAUGAAAAGCACUUUGAAAAGAGAGUCAAAUAGCAC
rnacentral:rRNA from 1 species